AGUGGCGAACGGGUGAGUAAUACAUCGGAACGUGCCCUGUAGUGGGGGAUAACUAGUCGAAAGAUUAGCUAAUACCGCAUACGACCUGAGGGUGAAAGUGGGGGACCGCAAGGCCUCAUGCUAUAGGAGCGGCCGAUGUCUGAUUAGCUAGUUGGUGGGGUAAAGGCCCACCAAGGCGACGAUCAGUAGCUGGUCUGAGAGGACGAUCAGCCACACUGGGACUGAGACACGGCCCAGACUCCUACGGGAGGCAGCAGUGGGGAAUUUUGGACAAUGGGCGAAAGCCUGAUCCAGCAAUGCCGCGUGUGUGAAGAAGGCCUUCGGGUUGUAAAGCACUUUUGUCCGGAAAGAAAUGGCUCUGGUUAAUACCUGGGGUCGAUGACGGUACCGGAAGAAUAAGGACCGGCUAACUACGUGCCAGCAGCCGCGGUAAUACGUAGGGUCCAAGCGUUAAUCGGAAUUACUGGGCGUAAAGCGUGCGCAGGCGGUUGUGCAAGACCGAUGUGAAAUCCCCGAGCUUAACUUGGGAAUUGCAUUGGUGACUGCACGGCUAGAGUGUGUCAGAGGGGGGUAGAAUUCCACGUGUAGCAGUGAAAUGCGUAGAGAUGUGGAGGAAUACCGAUGGCGAAGGCAGCCCCCUGGGAUAACACUGACGCUCAUGCACGAAAGCGUGGGGAGCAAACAGGAUUAGAUACCCUGGUAGUCCACGCCCUAAAACGAUGUCAACUAGUUGUUGGGGAUUCAUUUCCUUAGUAACGUAGCUAACGCGUGAAGUUGACCGCCUGGGGAGUACGGUCGCAAGAUUAAAACUCAAAGGAAUUGACGGGGACCCGCACAAGCGGUG
rnacentral:rRNA from 1 species